UACGAAGGGGGCUAGCGUUGUUCGGAAUUACUGGGCGUAAAGCGCACGUAGGCGGAUUGUUAAGUCGGGGGUGAAAUCCUGAGGCUCAACCUCAGAACUGCCUUCGAUACUGGCGAUCUGAGUUCGGAAGAGGUUGGUGGAACAGCUAGUGUAGAGGUGAAAUUCGUAGAUAUUAGCUAGAACACCAGUGGCGAAGGCGGCCAACUGGUCCGAUACUGACGCUGAGGUGCGAAAGCGUGGGGAGCAAACAGG
rnacentral:rRNA from 1 species